GGGAAACACGGAUCCAAAUGUCUGAAAGCCCCAUGACCCAGUUCAUCUCAAUGACCGUUUAUAUGUGGACAGGUUCCACCCUUACUGUAAAAUUUUCAACGCAUAUUCUGUUGGUCACUGUUGAAAAAUGCUACAGAACCAACAGAUUAUCUCGGAAACUGGUAAGUAAAGGACACGAUUAGCCUUUAUUUCCAAAUGCAUAACUAAAAUGAAUGACGGUUUCUUUCUUCAGUUUUAAGUAGGCUCCACACCCAGUGUGGGGUUGAACUCACAACUAGCCAGGCACCACUGAGUUUCUUUUUACAGAAGUAUUCUAAUACAUGAAGAAAUGAUAGCAUUAAAAUAUUAAGAUUUUGCAACCCCUAGCAAAUUGAGAGCUGGCCACUGACAUCAAUAGCAGCCUACAAACAACACAACAGAAGAGUUAAUCAGAUGUUACCUGCCUCCUGAUGAAAAAAUACCCUCACCUAUGAGAUUAUCUUGCCAAGAAUAACUGAACCUCCACUAAUCAAGUCUUUUGCUCUCACUACCAAUUUAUAGGAAAUAUAUACAGGAGAAGAAUGUGUUCAACUGUAUCAUGAUAGAGGAAGCAAAAUUUGGACUUGGGUCAACUCUACAAAACAACCUGGUUUCUUCAAUAAAUACAUCACAAGAUGGCAGAACAAUGAAAUAUCUGAUGACUGCAAAGAGCAAUUCCAGCAGCCUGCACUCUGAACUUUCAAGUGUUACCAUUACUCUUUCUAGAUUAUAACUUCCUUCAGUGGCUUUUCAGAUCCUAGGAAACUACAGUCUGAAUAUCUUUCAGGGAAGACUAUAACAUAAUCACUAGGUUGAAUACUUAAUACUCAAAGAAUAUUGAUCAUUGGCCAGAGAACUGAUACAACAUGGGUAACAGUGAGUAUACAUUUUCAGUAUUACAAAGAAGAGAGGGAUUUACAUAACCACAUUCCAAAGUACAUUACCCAGUAUACUCAUUCCAAUGUGUUUAUAGCCAUUUAUGGUGGGAAUGGUGUCGUCAUACGUGGUCUGUAGUCAUACAUGUUUGAGAAACAUUAAAUUAAAGGUAAUAAUUGACUGAUGUGGACUAUUUAUCCCUAAAGGGAACAUCUACCGUGUACUGCUUGAUCUUAGUUGAUCUCAGAACCCUUUUCUUGUGGGAUAGCUUAUAGGACUAAUUCUGAGAUAUACAUAUACCCGUAUAUCUCAUAUAUAAAAUUUCUAUGAUAGUACAAAGUAAUUGUCUAAUGUUACUAAUGUUAGUGACUAGACAGUGUAUUGUCUUGAGAAUAAUUCCCAGGCCAAACUGGCCACAGUGGGAAAAGAUGAAAACUAUCCAUGUCAUAUUUCUGUUGUUCCUGGCACCCUGCUCAUUACUUGGGAAACCUGUAUAUAGUUCAAAACAAAACACAGCAAAACAAUUCUUCUGGAGCAGAAGAUGCCAGUGUCUUUAGAAGGUGCCAGAGUCUUUCUGUGAUCCCCAACAGAAGCUGAAAGGUAUGUUUAAGUGACAAUGAACCACUUACCUUAACCUGUGAUUUGCUGCGGGAUUAAGCUUCCUAAUUUGUUCAAAUGUCAAAUCACACAGUCGACCAGUGCCAUCAGUUGUCCUGUCGACUGUGUUAUCGUGCAUUAAGACAGGAAUCCCGUCAGAAGUAAACUCAAUGUCCAAUUCCA